ACUUGGCUCGUGGAUUGAAGAACGUUGCUAGCUGCGAUAAAUAGUGCGAAUUGCAAACACACAGAGCACUAAAAUUUCGAACGCACAUUGCUCCAUCGGGUUCAUUCCCGUUGGCAUGUCUGGCUGAGGGUUAAUUGACGCAAAAGCAAAAAGAAUGUAUAUGUAAUGUACGUGUAUAUCUCAGACUGAACUUGCAAAAAGAAAAACCAUCGUCAGGUAAUGGUCUUACCGCUAUAUUUCCCUGAUCAGUUUUUGCUAUUUGAUGUUGUACGGAGCAACAACAAUUCGAAUAGCUACUAUUUAUUUCUGCUACUACAAAGAAGGAAAAUUUACAAGUAUGUAGUAGAGCAAAGAUGAUGAUAUGUGGUGCGCAUUAUCAACUUUAACCUCAGCUCAGUCAUGGAAAUCCGUUUAAUUUAAGCAUAUAACUAAGCGGAGGCAAAGAAACUAACGAGGAUUUCCCUGGUAGCGGCGUGUGGACGGGAAAAAGCCCAGCGCUAAAUCCUUUUAGCCGUUGGCUCUAGGGAACUGUGGCGUAUAGGUGUAACUACUCAGAUGAUUGUUCACCCAAAGUCCUUUUGAGUGGGGCUACCGUCCACAGAAGGUGCUAGGCCUGCACGGGGGUGGUGAAACAUUUGGUUUGGUUGCACCUUGGAGUCGGGUUGCCUGAGACCGCAGCCCAAAGAGGGUGGUAAACCCCUUCUAAGGCUAAAUAGGCCACAAGACCGAUAGCAAACAAAUACCGUGAGGGGAAGCUGCAA
rnacentral:ncRNA from 1 species